ACUUCGAAUUCUCGAAGUGAUCGAAAUGAUCAGAUCGAAUCAAUCAUCAAUUUAUAUUUAUAUUUAUAUUUUAACAAAAAAGAUAAACCAAAAGAUUCUAACCUAACCUGUUUUUAUCGCAUUUAUUAACGAGGAUGGAAGAUAUUAUCGGUUCGCACACGUCUUUCGAUGGAGCGCGAUUUACAAGGCAAAAGUUAGAAAGCAUGGCUCCGUUUGUUUCCGAAACAUUGAGAUUACUACAGAUAAAGGUACAUUUGAACAUGUACUACGCGUUUUCGUUAACUUUCGAUUUCACGCGACUUUAAAACUUGAUUAACGCGUUAUCCUGCCAUGUAAUUAUACUGGCAAGAUAGAUCUAUUGACAGCAGAUCAAAUAUGUAUAUAUAUAUAUAUGAAAAUAUUUCUACAAUAUGAUUUAUUUUAUAAUAUUUUAUAAUUGUUAAUAUGUAUAAUUGUGUAUAUUGUGUAUAAAUUAAAAAGAUAUAUUUUCUAAAAAGACAUAAAUGAAAAUAAUGUAUAUUAUCAUAUGUUAAACAUAAUUCAAUGAUUGGAUCAUGAUGAUUAAAUCCCACAGAAUCAUAUAUGCAGGUGAACGUAAUCUAAUCUAACAAUAUGAUACAAUACAAGAGAAUCAUUAUUCCAAAGUGCGAAACAGCAUGGUAGACAGUUAGUUUUUAAUCAAGAAAUAUACGGUAUUAUAUACGUGGUGGUAGAAAAAUCAUGGCAGUGAAAGGACAGUGUAUAAGUAAAGUGACGAGAAGAGGCGUCGAGUCGUGUGUGAGAUCCGCAGGAACACGAGAUAACGGUGUGUAAUGAGGACAUUCUUGAAAGCACUCGAAAUGCAAUCUCUGCACAGCCGACAAAUUGUCUGAGAACAGUGUCGUUCUCAGAGCUGGGCCAGAGGCUGCCAUCAGCUGUAAUUAAUUUUCAAAAAUCAUUAGAUUGAUAAAAACUAUUGAACUAAAAGGAAAAUUCCCAGGAAAGACAAUAAAAGAACAAAACCAUGAAAAUCAUAAAAAAAUUUUCCUUAAGAAGAAAAAAAUCCAAGAAAGUAAAGGAAUGUACCAAAGCUAUAAAACUUUCAUAGUUGAAGUGAAGAAACUUCUCUCGAAUGUGUUCUUUAUCGACCAUUCCAGACUAACUAAUGUCGAACACCUGCAACCGUCCCAUUGAAAUGCUCCCGCUAAACGCUCGAUCGAUGGAACCUCGAUGAAUUCAUAUCACUUCCCGUCAGAACGGAAACGCCGCGGAUGGAAUAACUGAACGAUUGGAAACGCGUCUACGCUUGUAAGCGAUCGUUUCCUUCUGCAACUAGGCGAGGCAUCCUCGUCGAUGCAUCCCCGUGCCAAAAAGAUGCGUGUCUUCAAUGUUUAACGAUGAAAUCGACGGAGUGAAUUCAGAUCGCCACAGCACGGUUAUCAUUCUAAAUUGAACGCUUUUUCCUUUUUGCGUUCUCUCUUGGCAACCGGUCUUGAUCGGAUCGCCAUGGUUCCACGAGCCAAUUUACCACGAGGCAACAAGUGAUGAGUUAACACGGUCUAGUAUGAUAGGGUUUAAUGUAGUGGAACUUGGCCUGAACUACCUGAUUGCCAAGAGAAACGAUAUGAUGGCGAGGAGAGAAAAUAGUUUGAUCAGACAAAUGAGUAGGUAAAUGAUAAAAAUGACAUCGAAGAAUAAUUGUUGGCGACUGGAACUAAAGAUAUUUUCUUUAGUUCGUUGACAUCGAGGCGAUUAUUCGUAAUCUAUUAAUUUCUUCUGAAAGUAAAUAAUAAGAAUGUUUAAAAGUCGAGUAUUCGUUGAAUAAUCGAUUUAAUUGAAGUAUACAAAAAAUCACUUGACCAUUGAAAGAUCAUCAUUUAAACAGUAUCAAUCAAACCAUCAGCGAGAAAGUUCAUGUUAAUAACACAAAGAUAUUGUUCUUUAAAUUUGAGUGACCGGUCAAGCAUCUCAAGAAAACCAUGUUGAAAGAACAAGUAGAACGUUCAAGUACAAGAAUCUUCUUACCAAUUUGAUGAAUAAUGAAGAGAACAUUCCAGGAGAAGAGAAAAAAGAGAGCAUAAGGACAAGCGUUGAAAUGAACGAGAGAAACUGGUCAAGUUUCGAUUUUCAUGGGAUCUGGUUAAAUAAAAAUUCAUCGGUUGAACUGAUUUUCUUGGCAUGCCGUCCGAUAAGCAUGGUGUUAAGGUUACCUAAGCACUUUCUAUGCCAGUCGAUGGCCGCUCGCUUUGAACGAGCCUCGAUUCGGAAUGGAAAUUAUGUCGUCGGUCGUUGUUACGUGGAAUGUCGUUCUCCGAUAAUGAGGGACACCGCCAAGGAUACGUGCUUACUUAAACCGCUAUUGUUUGAUUUCAUUCACGAGAAGCUUACACCAUAUCCAUUUUUAUUGAAUUAUUAAUAUGAUCCCAAGAUUUGAUAGUAAUAUUUAAUGAGAUCACUGGUACAUAAUAGUAUUAAAUGUUUAUUACAAUUCAUUCACAAGAAGUUUGCAUCCUUUUGAUGUGAAAAUAAUCUAAAAAGGAAUCUUUAUUGUACAAGUGUUAUUGACAAAAAACCUAUUGGAACAUUGAAUCAUUAAGCUUAUUUAUAUUUAUAUUAUGACAUUAUAUCAAUUGCUAAAAGAAAUAAAAAAUUAUCUCAAAAGACUUGAGUUAUUAUCAAAAUCAAAAGAUGAAUCAAAUAAUUUAAGAAAAAGAAAUAAGAAGAGAGAUGUCUUUGAGGAUGCCCGAGCGUAAAGAUUGAUUGAAGAUAGCGGUUCGCUCAUGGAAAGAAACGUUAAUCUAUGUCCAACAUGCACCAGGAGCCGGAAUUAGUUUGCCAGCCGGACAAUCGCGCAUUAAUCUUCUACUUCUGUUGCAUUCGAAGAGAGAGAGAAAGAGAGAAGAGGCUCUUCCUAUUAGGGAGAAACGGGAGUAUUGUGAGAAUCUAGCUUUUGGAACCAUCCUAUCUGAGCAACAAUGGAUCUGCUUGCUAGAAGAAUUACGAGUGAAAGAGUGAAAGACUUAAAUCUAACUGCACAUAAACGACCUUCGAUGUGCACAAUUUAUGAUUCACAAGAAAUAAUUUUG
rnacentral:lncRNA from 1 species